rnacentral:rRNA from 1 species
GUGGGGAAUAUUGGACAAUGGGCGAAAGCCUGAUCCAGCCAUGCCGCGUGUGUGAAGAAGGUCUUCGGAUUGUAAAGCACUUUAAGUUGGGAGGAAGGGCAGUAAGUUAAUACCUUGCUGUUUUGACGUUACCAACAGAAUAAGCACCGGCUAACUUCGUGCCAGCAGCCGCGGUAAUACGAAGGGUGCAAGCGUUAAUCGGAAUUACUGGGCGUAAAGCGCGCGUAGGUGGUUUUGUAAGUUGGAGGUGAAAUCCCCGGGCUCAACCUGGGAACUGCCUCCAAAACUGCAUGACUAGAGUACGGUAGAGGGUAGUGGAAUUUCCUGUGUAGCGGUGAAAUGCGUAGAUAUAGGAAGGAACACCAGUCGCGAAGGCGACUACCUGGACUGAUACUGACACUGAGGUGCGAAAGCGUGGGGAGCAAACAGGAUUAGAAACCCGAGAGUCC